rnacentral:lncRNA from 1 species
UGCAGGAAGAGAGCCUCCCUGGGUAGAACUGCACCUUCACAAUAACGGAAAUGAGAGCAUUAUUUAAGCCACAGUUUCUAUUUAUAAUGGUGACAUGGAAAAUAUACUGCUAGAUUUCCAGCAUGCAUCCAGAUAGAGAUAGCUCCAAGAGUUCUCACUGUGACAGCCACGUCUUUCACAGACAUUAUGGGAUACUAAUAGGGCUUCUAAAACAGAUACACAAAGCAUUCUACAGAAAAACAGCUCUCACUCUGAGAAAGAUUAUAUUGAGAGAAAAAAAAGAAGUUAAAAGCAUCUUAAGAAAAAACUGAAAUUAGAUAUAAGAUUGAUCAAGUCAGCCAGAAAAUAUUCCUGCAAAAACAAUUUCUCUCUAAAUACCCAAAGUGCAUAGCUACUCUCAGCAUGAGAAACAUGAGUAUUAUGAAGAAAAGAGGUAUAUUAUCAGCAGAAUCAUAAAAUAUUUUUUCUAUCUCUGCUGCUCUCUAAUUUUCUAGCCUUUGAAUGCAGAAUCUAUAUUCAAAUAUAUCUGACAACUUCCACCAGCACUUUGAUAA